CUGGCUUAAGCCCAAAAACUACCAAUAUGGUUAUUUUUCAAGAAUUUUUCAUUUUUAAAUUUUAACCAUUUUAUAAGUUCUCGAGCAUUAACCACAAAAUGUUUGAAAAAUUUGGUGUUUCUAUCGUAGCCAUUUUGAAAUAAUUGAUGUGUGUGACAAACGCGUUUUGAAGAAAAUCCUUUAUUCCGUCGAACUUAAUCGAGUUCUCCAUUAAAUCGGUCCUAGUAUUUACGGAACACAUCGAAUGUGUUGAUAAUCACAAAAGGACACCGAUUAGACGACCACUUUUGAAAUUCCAAAAUGGAACACCAUCUGCAGAAUCAUCAUCAAGUUGAAGGAGCCGCUUGCUACCGGUUCAUCUUCUACAGCCACAGCCCACAGCGAACGAAAGUUGGAAAAGCAUCGUCUUCGCACAAUCUGGAAGCGGUCCUCGUAAAUUUGGAUAAGUGGAAUAUCACGAAAAAGAUAACCCGGAAUACGCUCCUGAAUUUCUAUCAUCGCGGUGAGGAAUUGCGAGAUACUCCACCGUUUUUUCACCAUCCUGAUGGAGCUAGAACGGGCUGGACUGCUUGGAAAACAUCACCCGCCGGUCAUUAAUUAACCACUCAACCCCCCGUGAACGAACAGUCUGCUGGUGGCAGUGAUAUUUUGGCCGUCUUCGGAUCUACAAAAUGUCCCCAAAGCAUAUGGGUAUGAGUUCACCACUUCCGGUGGUGUCCGGCACCGAAGUUAGGUUAGUUUUUCAUUUUAAUUCGGUAGGGAUCGUGGGAAGAAAUCACUAUUUCAUUGCUUUGAAAGCUACCGGAUGUUUCGGCCUUGGUUUUAGCCUAAUGCUAGGUUGCAGUCUUGCAGUAUUAUAAUUUUCCAGCUUCCGCUCAAUUCUUGUGCUCAAAAAUCAUGAAUAAAAUUUAUAUGGGAAAUACUAUAUAAGCACAGCAAUACAAGAAAUAAAACGAACUACAUAUUUGAAAACCGUGUUUUCCUUAAU